rnacentral:rRNA from 1 species
GACGAACGCUGGCGGCGUGCCUAAUACAUGCAAGUCGAGCGAAGUGGAGGGAGCUUGCUCCCAAAGCUUAGCGGCGAACGGGUGAGUAACACGUGGGCAACCUGCCCGAUAGACUGGGAUAACUUGGGGAAACUCAAGCUAAUACCGGAUAGGAUCAUGGAUCGCCUGAUCUAUGAUGGAAAGUCUGAACGACACUAUCGGAUGGGCCCGCGGCGCAUUAGCUAGUUGGUGGGGUAAAGGCCUACCAAGGCGACGAUGCGUAGCCGACCUGAGAGGGUGACCGGCCACACUGGGACUGAGACACGGCCCAGACUCCUACGGGAGGCAGCAGUAGGGAAUCUUCCACAAUGGGCGAAAGCCUGAUGGAGCAACGCCGCGUGAGUGAUGAAGGUUUUCGGAUCGUAAAACUCUGUUGUUAGGGAAGAACACCCGGGAGAGGAUCCCGGUUUGACGGUACCUAACGAGAAAGCCCCGGCUAACUACGUGCCAGCCGCCGCCGUAAUA